UUAAGCGACUAAGCGUACACGGUGGAUGCCCUGGCAGUCAGAGGCGAUGAAGGACGUGCUAAUCUGCGAAAAGCGUCGGUAAGGUGAUAUGAACCGUUACAGCCGGCGAUGUCCGAAUGGGGAAACCCAGUGCAAUUCGUUGCACUAUCGUUAACUGAAUACAUAGGUUAACGAGGCGAACCGGGGGAACUGAAACAUCUAAGUACCCCGAGGAAAAGAAAUCAACCGAGAUUCCCCCAGUAGCGGCGAGCGAACGGGGAGCAGCCCAGAGUCUGAAUCAGCUUGUGUGUUAGUGGAACGGUCUGGAAAGUCCGACGGUACAGGGUGAUAGUCCCGUACACCAAAAUGCACAGGUUGUGAACUCGAAGAGUAGGGCGGGACACGUGGUAUCCUGUCUGAAUAUGGGGGGACCAUCCUCCAAGGCUAAAUACUCCUGACUGACCGAUAGUGAACCAGUACCGUGAGGGAAAGGCGAAAAGAACCCCGGCGAGGGGAGUGAAAAAGAACCUGAAACCGUGUACGUACAAGCAGUGGGAGCACCUUCGGGUGUGACUGCGUACCUUUUGUAUAAUGGGUCAGCGACUUAUAUUCUGUAGCAAGGUUAACCGUAUAGGGGAGCCGCAGGGAAACCGAGUCUUAACUGGGCGUUAAGUUGCAGGGUAUAGACCCGAAACCCGGUGAUCUAGCCAUGGGCAGGUUGAAGGUUGGGUAACACUAACUGGAGGACCGAACCGACUAAUGUUGAAAAAUUAGCGGAUGACUUGUGGCUGGGGGUGAAAGGCCAAUCAAACCGGGAGAUAGCUGGUUCUCCCCGAAAGCUAUUUAGGUAGCGCCUCGUGAAUUCAUCUUCGGGGGUAGAGCACUGUUUCGGCUAGGGGGUCAUCCCGACUUACCAACCCGAUGCAAACUACGAAUACCGAAGAAUGUUAUCACGGGAGACACACGGCGGGUGCUAACGUCCGUCGUGAAGAGGGAAACAACCCAGACCGCCAGCUAAGGUCCCAAAGUCAUGGUUAAGUGGGAAACGAUGUGGGAAGGCACAGACAGCCAGGAUGUUGGCUUAGAAGCAGCCAUCAUUUAAAGAAAGCGUAAUAGCUCACUGGUCGAGUCGGCCUGCGCGGAAGAUGUAACGGGGCUAAACCAUGCACCGAAGCUGCGGCAGCGACGCUCAGGCGUUGUUGGGUAGGGGAGCGUUCUGUAAGCCUGCGAAGGUGGCCUGUGAGGGCUGCUGGAGGUAUCAGAAGUGCGAAUGCUGACAUAAGUAACGAUAAAGCGGGUGAAAAGCCCGCUCGCCGGAAGACCAAGGGUUCCUGUCCAACGUUAAUCGGGGCAGGGUGAGUCGACCCCUAAGGCGAGGCCGAAAGGCGUAGUCGAUGGGAAACAGGUUAAUAUUCCUGUACUUGGUGUUACUGCGAAGGGGGGACGGAGAAGGCUAUGUUAGCCGGGCGACGGUUGUCCCGGUUUAAGCAUGUAGGCUGGUUAUCCAGGCAAAUCCGGAUAAUCAAGGCUGAGGUGUGAUGACGAGGCACUACGGUGCUGAAGUAACAAAUGCCCUGCUUCCAGGAAAAGCCUCUAAGCAUCAGGUAACAUCAAAUCGUACCCCAAACCGACACAGGUGGUCAGGUAGAGAAUACCAAGGCGCUUGAGAGAACUCGGGUGAAGGAACUAGGCAAAAUGGUGCCGUAACUUCGGGAGAAGGCACGCUGGUGUGUAGGUGAAGUCCCUGCGGAUGGAGCUGAGACCAGUCGAAGAUACCAGCUGGCUGCAACUGUUUAUUAAAAACACAGCACUGUGCAAACACGAAAGUGGACGUAUACGGUGUGACGCCUGCCCGGUGCCGGAAGGUUAAUUGAUGGGGUUAUCCGUAAGGAGAAGCUCUUGAUCGAAGCCCCGGUAAACGGCGGCCGUAACUAUAACGGUCCUAAGGUAGCGAAAUUCCUUGUCGGGUAAGUUCCGACCUGCACGAAUGGCGUAAUGAUGGCCAGGCUGUCUCCACCCGAGACUCAGUGAAAUUGAACUCGCUGUGAAGAUGCAGUGUACCCGCGGCAAGACGGAAAGACCCCGUGAACCUUUACUAUAGCUUGACACUGAACAUUGAGCCUUGAUGUGUAGGAUAGGUGGGAGGCUUUGAAGCGUGGACGCCAGUCUGCGUGGAGCCAACCUUGAAAUACCACCCUUUAAUGUUUGAUGUUCUAACGUGGGCCCCUGACCGGGGUUGCGGACAGUGUCUGGUGGGUAGUUUGACUGGGGCGGUCUCCUCCCAAAGCGUAACGGAGGAGCACGAAGGUUAGCUAAUCCUGGUCGGACAUCAGGAGGUUAGUGCAAUGGCAUAAGCUAGCUUGACUGCGAGCGUGACGGCGCGAGCAGGUGCGAAAGCAGGUCAUAGUGAUCCGGUGGUUCUGAAUGGAAGGGCCAUCGCUCAACGGAUAAAAGGUACUCCGGGGAUAACAGGCUGAUACCGCCCAAGAGUUCAUAUCGACGGCGGUGUUUGGCACCUCGAUGUCGGCUCAUCACAUCCUGGGGCUGAAGUAGGUCCCAAGGGUAUGGCUGUUCGCCAUUUAAAGUGGUACGCGAGCUGGGUUUAGAACGUCGUGAGACAGUUCGGUCCCUAUCUGCCGUGGGCGCUGGAGAAUUGAGGGGGGCUGCUCCUAGUACGAGAGGACCGGAGUGGACGCAUCACUGGUGUUCGGGUUGUCAUGCCAAUGGCACUGCCCGGUAGCUAAAUGCGGAAGAGAUAAGUGCUGAAAGCAUCUAAGCACGAAACUUGCCCCGAGAUGAGUUCUCCCUGAGACUUUAAGUCUCCUGAAGGAACGUUGAAGACGACGACGUUGAUAGGCCGGGUGUGUAAGCGCAGCGAUGCGUUGAGCUAACCGGUACUAAUGAACCGUGAGGCUUAACCU
rnacentral:rRNA from 1 species